UUGGGAUAUCGGAAAACAAGAAACCUAGUUCAAGCAGACCCCGCUGGCAAGCCGGGAAACCUAGGAAAUUGAAGGAAGAGAGUUGGAGUGUGUAAAUUCUGAUCAUUGCGGAAUGUCCCAGUUGUCAGCCUGUUGCUCUGUGUAAACCGGACACAUGCCAGCUGCCAAGGUCCCAGGUGCUGGAUAUAACAAGCUGCUAACAUAAAUGCAAAGAAUACUAACUACUUCUGCAACUCCAUGUUUCUGCUGCUUUCUACAUAAAAAAGUGCACAGCCCAUGAAUGUAUUUGAAAUAUAUCUAUCAGGGUGAGGAUAAGGGUGAUGAUCAUAGCUUCCACCAAAGCAUUGUGUAUACUGUAAAGGAGAUGUGAUAUGUUUUAGUGUUAGAAGUAGGUUUCUGGUGGAGUUUGAAUUUGAUUUUAGACUCAUAGAGUUUGAGAUGUCUUUAGGAAAGGAAGAAAGAAUGGAAUAAAAAUAAGAAACAACCCACCUUCAAAAUUCUAAAAAAGAAGCUAUUUUCUUUUCUUUUUUCAAUUUUAUUUAUGAGUACACUGUAGCUAUCUUCAGACACACCAGAAGAGGGCGUCGGAUUCCAUUACAGAUGGUCGGGAACCACCAUGUGGUUGCUGGGAUUUGAAGUCAGGACUUCUGGAAGAGCAGUCAGUGCUCUUAACCGCUGAGCCAUCUCUGAAGCCCGGAAGUUAUUUUCAAUGAAUAAAUUUGUGCUCACUCAAAUGAACACAACCAUGUUUCGGUCCCCUCCAUGUAUCAUCUCUUAGAAAGCUGCUGGGGGAGGUGCCAAGCAAAGUGAAGGGUUAUACAGACCAAAAGAAGGUAGCCUAGCAGCUAAGAAAGAUGGCUCCAAGUGCAGGGUGCUGGAUUCGUAGCUGGCUUAGGAAACAACUAACAAACAAAUAAAACCAGCUAAUAAUGGGUAGGUGGCAGAUCUGGAGCCUUUGAAAUGUCCUCUCAAGACAAAGCAGAUAAAAUGAGGCUGGCAGUCACACAGUUCAGCAAUCAAUUUGGGGGAACGAAUACGAGGAAGGCCGUCAAAACGCUGUUUUUCAGCAGUGAAUUAUAUGAACACAGUCAUAAUGGGGUGAGUGGCUGCCUGGCCCAUAGAGGCUGUAAGCUGGGACCUCAGCUUGCCUGCGAUGAUCAAGAAAUGACACUUAUUUGAGGAAAAACAUUACAAAAAGUGACUAAACAUUACAAAUUGGCACUUGAGACAAUUGGAGAGGCUUGGUGGGGACUCCUAGCUCCAGUAAGGCUGUGCUGACUGGCCAGAAAGCUCCAGUUACCCUCUUGCCCCUGCCUCCCACCCUCGGGGGUGUAGGUGUGCGGCGCCGCUCGUGUCAUGCCAGUGCAGGUGGAAUCCGACACGAGCACGGAGAAUCUGAACGCAGUGCUCACACGUAGACUGCGGGCAUUUUACUGAGUCACCUCCCCAGCCUCAAAACGUUUUUCUUAAAUCUUUUCUAAUAAAAAUUUACACUUCUUUACAAGG
rnacentral:lncRNA from 1 species